rnacentral:rRNA from 1 species
UACGUAGGGGGCAAGCGUUGUUCGGAAUUACUGGGCGUAAAGGGCGCGUAGGCGGCACGGCAAGUCGGGAGUGAAAGCCCGGGGCUCAACCCCGGAGGGUCUUCCGAAACUGCCGGGCUAGAGUGCGGAAGAGGCAACCGGAAUUCCCAGUGUAGCGGUGAAAUGCGUAGAUAUUGGGAAGAACACCGGAGGCGAAGGCGGGUUGCUGGGCCGACACUGACGCUGAGGCGCGAAAGCGUGGGGAGCGAACAGG